rnacentral:lncRNA from 1 species
GAGGAAACAAGCGUGAUAACACCACCGGAUAGCGCACAAUUAUUCUACUGGAUCAAAACACGAAAACCCAAAUCUUUAUUCAAAUAAUUUCAUACAAUUUAUACAUUAAAUAGGAAAUCCUUGUGUUUCUCUCUCAUACAGAACACAGCCGGCGCCAAAGUUUUUCAAUCGAGUUUGGGGAUUCGGUAGUAUUUAUGAAGUAAGUUUCCAUUGAAAUGUCAAAUUAACAAACAAGAUAGAGAGGUUUAAAAGAGAGAAAAUGGAGGUGAGUUAGGGUUUUGAAGUGUCUGAAUUUGGGCUUUGCUUC